UCCUCUCGUCCAACGUUGUAUAAACAAUUAUGUUUAAGGAUUAUUUAUAUAUAUAGAAAAAGUUUAGACGAAAUAAUCAAGUCCAAAACAAAAAAAGAGACAAAAUUGCCUCGAACUCGGAAAGGCACGUCGCUAGGCAAAACGUGAGGAAAAUUGCUCGCCUAGCCUGGAAUUUUGUUUCAGUUCUGAAAAACUUUUGGAUUGCCUAACUUUUUCCCUUUUUAGGUUUCUUUGCUUUUUUCUUUCUUUUCUUGCAAUUGUCUUCAAUUUCCUCCCCUUAAUGCUCUUCACAAUCGCAUAAUUAAUGAUCCCACAUUUGUAGUGUAUAAAAAUUCAUUGAAUAUUUACUUUGCUCCUAAAUUGUAUUUUCAAAG
rnacentral:lncRNA from 1 species